rnacentral:misc_RNA from 1 species
AAACAAUUAUGCUCCAGCUAAUGCAACUGAUAGUGGGCCCAAGGAGACGCAAACAAUAUCAGAUCUGAUUCCAGAAUCCUCAGAUCCUGCGGAGUUUUGGCAGAUUAAUAAACUACCUCUCAUCUGGGGAAAGCAAAGACAGUCUCCUUUGUGUCUGGACGAGUGGGCUGCUUUCUUAGACACAGAAGGACGGAUAAUAGAUUCAGAAUCACUGAAAAAAAGAAUAUUUUAUGGGGGAGUUGAGCACAACCUGCGAAAAGAGGUCUGGAAAUUUUUGCUGGGAUAUAACGAGUAUAAUUCAACCUACGCUGAGAGGGAUUAUCUUGCAUCCAUGAAGAAGUCCGAGUAUGAAACUGUAAAAUCUCAAUGGCAGAAUAUAUCAGCAAUACAAGCCAAACGGUUUACAAAGUUCAAGGAGCGGAAAGGUCUCAUCGAAAAGGACGUGGUGAGGACAGACAGAUCCAUCUCUUACUAUGACGG